GAGGACGUGAACCGGUAGGAUGGAAACGGAUAGAGCCAACGAACAAGCCCGUAUUCAGCUGGUGGGUUGCGUGCGGCAUGGUUUUGUGCCCGAUAGGGUGUAUUGCUGUGUGCGGUAUGCGGUCGGCUAGUGCAUUUGCGGGUGAUGUGCGCUGAGGCGUGUGGUGGUGUCCAGCAAACCGUUCGGAGAGGACUUGCCUUCGGGCUUGAAACCUACGAGUGGGGAGUAGGGUUACUGCUGCACGUAGUCUUCGACUAGGUGCAAACGCGGUGUCGUGCUGUCGGGUUAGCUGCUUGGUCGGUCGCAUGCGACUAGAUCUUGUUGGUUGGUCUUGGUGGUGUGGUACUGCCCUGGUUGAUCCUCGGUGUAAAAGUUGGUCAUCUCUCCGACCCGUCUUGAAACACGGACCAAGGAGUCUAGCGUAUACGCGAGUCAUUGGGUGGAAAACCCAUAGGCGCAAUGAAAGUGAAGGUCUCUUUAUGAGGCUGAUAUGCGACCCGUUGCACUUCGGUGUACGCGGAGCAGCAUAGCCCCGUCUCGACUGCUUGCAGUGGGGCGGAGGUAGAGCGUAUGCGCUGGUACCCGAAAGAUGGUGAACUAUGCCUGAGCAGGAUGAAGCCAGAGGAAACUCUGGUGGAGGUCCGAAGCGCUUCUGACGUGCAAAUCGAUCGUCUGACUUGGGUAUAGGGGCGAAAGACUAAUCGAACCAUCUAGUAG
rnacentral:rRNA from 1 species